AUAAGUAUAGGUAUAAUAAAUAAAGCGUUUUUUAUAACCAGUUCCGCAAAUGUAGGAAGUUUAAUCAAUUUUAAAUGUUGAAAAGUUAUAAGAAAUAGUGAUCCAAUUAAUCAUGCCAUGGAAUAAUUUUUAUAAACCGGUAAUCGUUGCAAAGUGCUUACCGUUUACUUUUAGGGCGAAACAAUAAUACAAUUAGGUAGUACCAGAUCGUUUAUGAAACUGCUUUUAGAUAGGUACUUUAAAACCACAUGAGGUUUCAGUGAACAACGUUUUGUUAUUUUUUAAGUAAUGAACUUAAACUUUCUUUGUUUACUGGUUCUUAUCUUACUAUCAUAAGUAUUAGUAAUGUAAUUUUCGGUCAAAAAAGGUGCAUAAAACGACAAAAAUGUGUUUUAAAAUUUCCAUUUAAUUUACUCAUCUCAUCAAUUUUGUAAAGCUAACGAGGUAUUUAUUUUUUGCUUGUUUUUAUUUUUAACUAGUUUACGUUAAAAUUUCACUUAUUUAGUUACGAUGAAUACUUGGGUUAAUGUAAAAAUGGAAUGAUUCGAAACAAAAUUAGUUUUAUCACAUUCCUGUUUUCGUAC